rnacentral:tRNA from 1 species
GCCAGUUUGGCUCAGUGGAUAGAGCGUUGGCCUGCGGACCGAAGGGUCACAGGUUCAAUUCCUGUCAAGGGCA